rnacentral:lncRNA from 1 species
AUGUGCUCAGCGCCACAGACGCAGCGGUGCAGCCUUCUCCCCGGCGCUAGUACAGCUGAGGCGGCUGUUGGGCGACGGCGGCGACUUCAGGGGAACCUCCUGACUGCCCUCCCCAUACCCUCCCAACGGCGCCGUUCCUGCUUCCUCCCUCCUCCCUUCUCCCUUCUCCCGAUCCAAUCUCAACCCAUUAGGAACAAAACCGAGGUCAGCAAUAGAUGCAAAUCCAGCUUCAUCUCAAUCCAUCAGCAACAAAGCCGAGAUCAGCAACAGCUAACCUCUUAUUACGAUGUGAUUCCUGACUUGGUGAUCGAUGUGAUUCCUGACUUGGAUCUUCCUCUCAUCCAAAAUCAUAAGAAGCCAAUCGUGGAGACCAUGAUCAGGGGCUGGACGAAAUCGAAAUCGAGGGCUUCUGCUCCUCUGCAGGACUGCAGCCACAGUCGGGUCCUGGCGGUGCCGCCGCCGUCGCGCGAGGAUAGUAGGAGGUCGCGAGUCACUUGAUUCCUUUUUU